GAAAUGACCCCUGAGUUUGUUUGUUUAGAAGAGGUACUGCCAAAUAAUUAAACAGAUCACUAAGUAUGGACCAAAAGAAAAAUGUUCUUGAUCAAUAGGAUACUGAAUUUUUCAAGGAAAUUAAGGGGGAAAAUCGGUCAACUAAAAACAACAACAAAAAAAAACCCACAUGUAAUUGGGCAAUCAAAACGCUCACUAAGAAAAAGUGCUGUUCAUUCUAUGUUCUCGGUAAAAAAAAACGUUUUGCAAACACAGACAUA
rnacentral:lncRNA from 1 species